ACUUACGGCCAUACCAGCCUGGGUACGCCCGAUCUCUUCUGAUCUCGGAAGCUAAGCAGGGUCGGGCCUGGUUAGUACUUGGAUGGGAGACCGCCUGGGAAUACCAGGUGCUGUAAGCA
rnacentral:rRNA from 1 species